rnacentral:rRNA from 1 species
CCCUUAGAGUUUGAUCAUGGCUCAGAACGAACGCUGGCGGCAUGCCUAACACAUGCAAGUCGAACGAAGGCCCUAGCUUGCUAGGUGUCCUUAGUGGCGAACGGGUGAGUAACGCGUGGGAAUCUGCCAUAGAGUGGGGAACAACUUUUGGAAACGAAAGCUAAUACCGCAUACGCCCUCCGGGGGAAAGGCUUCGGCCGCUCUUUGAUGAUCCCGCGUCUGAUUAGCUUGUUGGUAGGGUAACGGCUUACCAAGGCGACGAUCAGUAGCUGGUCUGAGAGGAUGAUCAGCCACACUGGGACUGAGACACGGCCCAGACUCCUACGGGAGGCAGCAGUGGGGAAUAUUGGACAAUGGGGGAAACCCUGAUCCAGCAACGCCGCGUGAGUGAAGAAGGCCUUAGGGUUGUAAAACUCUUUCGCCGGUGAAGAUGACGACUGUAGCCGGUAAAGAAGCCCCGGCUAACUCCGUGCCAGCAGCCGCGGUAAUACGGAGGGGGCUAGCGUUGUUCGGAUUUACUGGGCGUAAAGCGCACGUAGGCGGCAUAUUAAGUUAGAGGUGAAAGGCCUGGGCUCAACCUAGGAACUGCCUUUAAUACUGGUAUGCUUGAGUUCGGAAGAGGGUAGUGGAAUUCCAAGUGUAGAGGUGAAAUUCGUAGAUAUUUGGAAGAACACCGGUGGCGAAGGCGGCUACCUGGUCCGAUACUGACGCUGAGGUGCGAAAGCGUGGGGAGCGAACAGGA